rnacentral:rRNA from 1 species
UACAGAGGGUGCUAGCGUUGUUCGGAAUCAUUGGGCGUAAAGGGCGUGUAGGCGGUUUGUUAAGUCAGGGGUGAAAUCCUGGAGCUCAACUCCAGAACUGCCUUUGAUACUGAAGAUCUUGAGUUCGGGAGAGGUGAGUGGAACUGCGAGUGUAGAGGUGAAAUUCGUAGAUAUUCGCAAGAACACCAGUGGCGAAGGCGGCUCACUGGCCCGAUACUGACGCUGAGGCACGAAAGCGUGGGGAGCAAACAGG